GACGUAGGGCGCGAGCGUUGUCCGGAUUGAUUGGGCGUAAAGAGCUCGUAGGCGGCUCGUUGCGUCGGCUGUGAAAACCCGCAGCUCAACUGUGGGCCUGCAGCUGAUACGGGCGGGCUGGAGUUCGGUAGGGGAGACUGGAAUUCCUGGUGUAGCGGUGAAAUGCGCAGAUAUCAGGAGGAACACCGGUGGCGAAGGCGGGUCUCUGGGCCGAUACUGACGCUGAGGAGCGAAAGCGUGGGGAGCGAACAGGAUUAGAAACCCUAGUAGUCC
rnacentral:rRNA from 1 species